rnacentral:lncRNA from 1 species
CAAUUCAUCCAAUAUUUAGAAAAUAAUUGAAAAUUUUCAUGGUCAAAUUAAUAUGGAAAAUCAUAAUUAAAUAAACUCGAUUGUUUCAACUGCUCAUUCUGACGAAGCAGCACUAGUUCGACAUAUUGCUUCUGAUGAUAAUUAUUAUAUAUCAGUGUUGCAAAUUAGCAAGGUAUAGUGCCUUCAGACUUAAAUUCACCACUUUCAUAACCUUCUCGAUCAGUACCUUCACCUUCUCCGUCAGUACCUCCUUCAUCAACUCUCAAUAUCACCAAAAUUCUAAAUGACUAUCCAGACUUCAUACGAAUUUUUUUAUUUGGCCUAAACUAGGGGGGGAAAAAAACCCAAAACAGAAGAUGUACAGAACUUUAGACAUGAAUAUUUCAAGAUGUGAAUUUGAGGCCUACUACACAUCAUUAGAGAGGACUAAAUUUAUGAUCAAUAGGAUAAAAAGACAUGCAUUUUUAUAUUUUCAUGCAUAAACUUGUUGUACUCAAUGCAUUUCCAGAGGAGAAGGAAGAAGGAUACCAUCUCUUUAUCUAUUCUCUUCCAAAUUAGUAGCAUAUCUCUGGCUUUUUCGUUGCACGAAUUGUAGCCCCUCAUCAAUGUGAGAGAUCUGCUGACCUUCAAUUUCACCUACAAAGAAUAAAAGAGUCGACAGUUCAGUAUAAACACUACAAACGCCAUCUGAUGAAACCUAAACCCAAAGGUACACAAGUUUUAGAGAGAAAGUAAGGACAGAGAUAGAUAUGGGGAGGACCUUGAGCGAGGAGGCGAUUGACGGCUUCGUUGGGGAGGACCUCAGAGGAGGGAGAACGCUGUCGAAAUCUUACACGAACAAUCCUAGGUGGAGCAAAUCUUUCAAAACCAACCCCAUCCCUCCCUCCCUCCCACCCUCCCUCCGCAAUUCCCACUUCUCCCAUACCCCAAAUUCAGCAUCACCGCUCAACCCUGUCUCUUUCUCUCUCUGGAAUACCUACGCCUACUCCCUUUCUCUAUCUGCAACACUUCCCGUCAACCUCUC